ACGGCUCAGUAACACGUGGACAACCUACCCUAUGGAGGGGGAUAACCCCGGGAAACUGGGGAUAAUACCCCAUAGACUAUGAAUGCUGGAAUGCUUUGUAGUUGAAAGGUCCGCCGCCAUAGGAUGGGUCUGCGGCCGAUUAGGUUGUUGUUGGGGUAACGGCCCAACAAGCCUGUAAUCGGUACGGGUUGUGGGAGCAAGAGCCCGGAGAUGGAUUCUGAGACACGAAUCCAGGCCCUACGGGGCGCAGCAGGCGCGAAAACUUUACAAUGCGGGAAACCGUGAUAAGGGAACUCCGAGUGCCCGUAAAAUCGGGCUGUCCAUCUGUUUAAAUAACAGGUGAAGAAAGGGCCGGGCAAGACCGGUGCCAGCCGCCGCGGUAAUACCGGCGGCUCGAGCGGUGGCCACUAUUACUGGGCUUAAAGCGUUCGUAGCUGGUCUGUUAAGUCUCUGGGGAAAUCUACUGGCUUAACCAAUAGGCGUUUCAGGGAUACUGGCAGACUAGGGACCGGGAGAGGUGAGGGGUACUCCAGGGGUAGGAGUGAAAUCCUGUAAUCCUUGGGGGACCACCUGUGGCGAAGGCGCCUCACCAGAACGGCUCCGACAGUGAGGGACGAAAGCUGGGGGAGCAAACCGGAUUAGAUACCCGGGUAGUCCCAGCCGUAAACGAUGCGCGUUAGGUGUAUCGGUGACCACGAGUCACCGAGGUGCCGAAGAGAAAUCGUGAAACGUGCCGCCUGGGAAGUACGGUCGCAAGGCUGAAACUUAAAGGAAUUGGCGGGGGAG
rnacentral:rRNA from 1 species